UACGGGGGGGGCAAGCGUUGUUCGGAAUUACUGGGCGUAAAGGGCGCGUAGGCGGCCUGCUAAGUCGGAUGUGAAAUCCCUCGGCUCAACCGAGGAACUGCAUCCGAUACUGGCGGGCUUGAAUCCGGGAGAGGGAUGUGGAAUUCCAGGUGUAGCGGUGAAGUGCGUAGAUAUCUGGAGGAACACCGGUGGCGAAGGCGGCAUCCUGGACCGGUAUUGACGCUGAGGCGCGAAAGCUAGGGGAGCAAACGGG
rnacentral:rRNA from 1 species